CCUCCCGCCCACCUCACAGAAAAAUUAAACUUCUGAGGGAAAUAAAACAUAAAAAGCCACGGCGGUGCGCGCGGGGGCGGGAAUUCGGUGUGGUUGGGGCUUACCGAGGGCUGAGUUUCCCCGCUGGGCAGCUCAGAGGUGCCUCAGGCUCCAGCGUGUGGCUGCUGCGUGGUUUGGUUGAAAGUACAGAAGCUGAGCUGAGCAGGAGGAAUGUGCCUCAGAGGUAAAGAUGAGGAAUAUGCACUUGAAAAGAAGGUGACUGCACCUGAAGGCAACACUCAGAAGAGGAAGGUGUAUGCAUGCUAAUGAGAUGUGUACUUUCACUUCGGAUUGAAAUCACCAUUACCAUCAAGGAAGUCCAGCUUCUGGUGUUGCUUCUACGAACCUGUUCUGGUCCUCACUGGAAUGAUCUUGCUCACUUCACUAACCCUAAGAAAACAGGUAUUUUACAGCCACGUUAUUGUGAUAAAUCUUCUCCCCAAAGGUCUGGUGAAAGUCCAGGAUGGAAGGAUACAAAACCUGGUUCAGCUGGCUUGUUUGUCCUGAAGACUUCAUCCUCAGUGACUGCAGCUUGUGGUUUGGAAGCUCAGAUGCUUCAGUGA
rnacentral:lncRNA from 1 species